rnacentral:rRNA from 1 species
UACGUAGGCAGCAAGCGUUGUUCGGAAUUACUGGGCGUAAAGAGUGUGUAGGCGGUGCUCUAAGUUCGGUGUGAAAUCUCCCGGCUUAACUGGGAGGGUGCGCCGGAAACUGGAGUGCUUGAGCGCGGGAGAGGAAAGCGGAAUUCCUGGUGUAGCGGUGAAAUGCGUAGAUAUCAGGAGGAACACCUGUGGUGUAGACGGCUUUCUGGACCGUAGCUGACGCUGAGACACGAAAGCAUGGGUAGCAAACAGG